UCCAUGGAAGACUAGUGGUUAUGCCUCGGUGCUCUCAUCGCUGCGAACCAGGUUCGAUUCCUGGCCAGGGGA
rnacentral:tRNA from 1 species